GAACUGAAGAGUUUGAUCAUGGCUCAGAUUGAACGCUGGCGGCAGGCCUAACACAUGCAAGUCGAGCGGUAGAGAGAAGCUUGCUUCUCUUGAGAGCGGCGGACGGGUGAGUAAUGCCUAGGAAUCUGCCUGGUAGUGGGGGAUAACGUUCGGAAACGGACGCUAAUACCGCAUACGUCCUACGGGAGAAAGCAGGGGACCUUCGGGCCUUGCGCUAUCAGAUGAGCCUAGGUCGGAUUAGCUAGUUGGUGAGGUAAUGGCUCACCAAGGCGACGAUCCGUAGCUGGUCUGAGAGGAUGAUCAGUCACACUGGAACUGAGACACGGUCCAGACUCCUACGGGAGGCAGCAGUGGGGAAUAUUGGACAAUGGGCGAAAGCCUGAUCCAGCCAUGCCGCGUGUGUGAAGAAGGUCUUCGGAUUGUAAAGCACUUUAAGUUGGGAGGAAGGG
rnacentral:ncRNA from 1 species